GGGGGUAUAACUCAGUGGUAGAGUGUCAGCUUUGCAAUGACCUGCCUGUGUCAGGCGUGUUGAAAGUCAAGGGUUCGAUCCCCUUUUCCUCCA